CUAGCAAGUAGAUAUUACAGCCUUUCUAGUUUCUCGUGUAAAUAAUUGAUAUUUUGUAUUUCUUGUGUGUAUUCUUGUUUAGCAUUUUUCAAAUGACCUAGCUAGCUAUCGUAGCAUUUUUCAUUACUCUCAUUUUUUAAAUUACCCUGGCCUUUUUAGCUAAUUAGCUAACCUUAGGUCUCCGUCGAUCAGAAGCAAGGAUGGUUCUGUGCUCUACACUGGAUUGUAACCAGUAACGUUACUUUGAUAAGCACACGUGUAUUUGAUCGUUUUCCGUCCUCUGAGUGAGAGGCUUCGCUGGAGUUGUGUGAUAAGUCCAAAAGGAGUGCAUCCCUUGUGCUAUCUGGCGCAUGGACAUCCUUUGCCAGUGUGAUCCGAGUGCAAGUGUCAAGUUGUAGAGACUACAACAGAUCGAGCCUGUGGACGGACAGACAUGUGGAGUGACAUGCGAAACACCAGGCUCACCCCAAGAGAAGCAGUGCAUAAUCAACACCAUCCUCAGCAAGGAGAUAUGCUGGAAAUUAGUUACUCUCUCUAACUCUGGGGUUGCUGACAAGCGGAGCAAUAGGAGUCUGUCAGACGUUGUCAUGCUGGAUGGGAAUGGUGAUGGAGGCUUUGGUGGUUCACACAACGAAGAAGCAGAUAUCCCUUCCAAUGAUGUGGAGUUGACGUUGGACCUUGUUGCCAGGAAGGAUUGUCUUCACAGAGGCAGUAAAACCCUCCUUCCAUAUAGGAAUCCUUCAACUUCACUGUCUCUUCAAUAACACCCAUCCAACGACUGUGAUCUGAGGACCCUUUUUUAGCAGUGAUGGAGUUACACGCUUGGCCCUAACCACUGCUCCAUAAUUUAUGGCUGUCAACCUCCAUCUUCUCAUGGUGUGUCAGUUGGGGUUGGUGCAAUGUCGAACUAUUGCCUGCCAUAUAGCUUUCGGCUGCUCCACCAACAGCGCCAUGCCAACCAGGAUGCCGGUUUGCCCGAGGUGCCUUUUUUAAAUUUUAUUUUAUUUUUUACAAUUUCCAGUACAGACAGGAAUGACAGGGAGGGUAGCAGUUGUUCUGGCUCAGGUUCAGGGAGACAUGCCAUUCCACUGAACCUUCCCCAGAGAUGGUUCCUUAGCUACUGAAGAUCCUCCUCUGUGGGCUCCCAGGACAGAGGGUUGUUGUCUUCAGCCAGGUACAGGUCCUCCACUGACUGCACCUUUUUGGUCACGGCUGGCUUCCUCCAUUAGCAUUCCACAUCCGUACGGCUGAAAUUGUGACCCACCAAAAUAGGCUGCAUGGCUACCUGUAUGAGCUCCACGGAGGCAUAGAGGGAAUCACCUGGUCACCUACAGAGACCUGCCAAGAUGGAAGAUGUUAAGUGCCACAUGCCUUUCAAUACAUUAAUUUGAACACCUUGAAAUACAUUUGUUGUAAAAAAUGUGCUGUAUAAAUAAAGUUUGAUUUGAAUGAUGACAUAUUCUGGUUAAUGAUAAUUGAUUAAGUGUAUCUUUCUUUGUAGAAUGUUGACAGCUGUAUAGAACACAUUGUAUUGCUAAGAUUCUCAAACUUAACUUGAUAGCUACACUCCGAUACAGGAUAAACUUUAUCUCUCAUAUUGGCCCUGACCAAACCAAUAAGUUGCCCCUCACUAGAGCUGUACUUCUACACAUGGUAUCAAGGUAUCAACUGUCCCAGAUGCAGACAGUUGUGAAGUAACAAAAGUUUAUAACAAAAACGGGGGCAGGCAAACGACAGGUCAAUGGCAGGCAGUGGUCAACAAUCCAGAUCAGAGUCCGAAACAGGAGACAAAGGGCUGUGAGACAUAGUUUUAAUCCUAGACACAUGAAAAGUGGGAUUUAUACGGAGGGUACGGGGCAACAUAAGAUGAACAGCAGAAGGGGCUAAUCAUUGUGAGGAUGGGGAAAGGGCCAGUACAAUGGGGGGAAAGUUUGCAGGACUCCACCCGGAGGGGCAGAUCUCAAGUAGACAGCCAUACCCUCUUCCCGAGACGACACCGGGGAGCCGGAGUCCGGUGUCAGUCCGCUUGUCGCCUAUACCUGGAGGUAGUCUUGAGAAGAGCCGACUGGGCUCUCUUUUUGGUACGGCGACAGUGGCAGACAAACAUCUGGCCCGAUGGUAUGCCGGCCUCUUCCUCUUGCUCCGGGAAGAGCAGGGGAGGGUGUUGCCCUCGAAAGGCGAGAGUCCGGUGGCAGAGCAGGGGAGGGUGUAGCGGGCUUAUUCAACACACACGAGUUGCUGGCUCCAGGUGGUGGGUUUGGCGGAGACAAGGCAGCGAAGAGUGGUCUCAAGGUCUUGAUUGGCUUGCUCUGACUGGCCGUUGGACUGAGGGUGGAACCUGGAGGACAGGCUGGCCGACGACCCAAUGAGUGUGCAGAACACCUUCCAGAACCGGGACUAGAACUGAGGAACCCGGUCGGAGACCAUGUCCACCGGGAGUCCAUGGAUCCGGAAGACGUGCUGCACCAUGAGCUGGGCCGUCUCUUUGGCAGAGGGUAGCUUGGGGAGAGGAAUGAAAUGGGAGGCUUUGGAAAACAGGUCCUCUACUGUCAGGAUUGCAGUGUUGCCAUCAGACGGUGGGAGACCUGUGGAGAAGUUCAGGGAUAUGUGAGACCAGAGACGGUGAGGGACAGGCAAUGGUUGAAUGAGACCAGCUGGAGCUUGCCAAGGAGUCUUGUUCUGCGCACAGAUCGUGCAGGCAGCGAUGAAUGCGGAGAUGUCCGGAACCAUGGUAGGUCACCAAAAGCGUUGCCGCACAAAGGCCAGGGUCUGAUGGGAGCCCGGGUGGCAGUCUAGCUUGGAGGAUAGGUUCCACUCCAGGAGCGAGGGGUGGACAUCAUCAGGGUCAAACAUCUGGUUAUCUGGGCCCCCCGGGGUUUUGCUGGGAACAUUGCACCUCAUGGAGCUGCUUCUCUAUUCACGAGCUGAUUAACGUCGCCAGGCACGAGGAGGGAAGGAUGGUCUCGGGGUCCGAGGGUGUAGCCGCGGGGCUAUAGUGGCAUGGCAGCGCAUCCGGCUUGAUAUUCUUGGAUCCCUGUUGGUAGGAGAGGGAGAAGUUAAUCCAGGUGAAAAGCAGGGCCCACCUAGCUUGCCUGGAAUUGAGACGCUUGGCGGUGUGGAGAUAGUCCAGGUUCUUGUGAUCAGUCCACACAAUGAACGGAUGUUCCGCCCCCUCCAACCAGUGUUUCCACCCCUACAACGCCAUCUUCACUGCGAGAAACUCACGAUUUCCCACAUCGUAAUUCCUCUCUGUGGCGUUGAGGUGAUGGGAGAAGAAGGCGCAGGGGUGUAACUUGAGGUCCAGGGCAGAACACUGGGACAGGACAGCCUCACUCCGACAUCCGAAGCAUCGGCCUCCACCACGAACUGACGGGACGGGUCAGGAGGAACCAAUAUGGGAGCUGUGGUGAAGCAGUGCUUGAGGUCCCGUAAUGCCCGGUCAGCAGCUGGGGACCACAUGAACGGAACCUUGGGCGAGGUGAGUGCCUACAGCGGGGAAGCCAGGGUGCUGUAGCCCCGGAUAAAGUGGCUAUAAAAGUUGGCAAAAUUCUAGGAGACGUUACACACUGCACUCUGGACGUAGGCUGGUGCCAAUCCACUGCCGGUCUCACCUUCCCGGGAUCAAUCUGUUAAUUUCCUGCAGCGAUGAUGUAACAAAAGAAGGGGAUGGAAUUCACAUUUCUCCGCUUUCACAAAAAGCUGGUUCUCCAGGAGGCGCUGGAAGACCUGUCGGACGUGGAGCACGUGUUCUUGGGUUGAGUAUGAGAACAUGAGGAUGUCGUCGAGGUAGACGAAGACGAACCGGUUCAACAUGUCGUGGAGAACAUCCUUAACCAGGGCCUGGAACACAGCUGGAGCAUUGGUAAGGUCGAAUGGCAUGACCAGAUGUUCGUAGUGACUGCUGGCUAUAUUGAAGGCAUGCUUCCACUUGUCCCUUCCCUGAAUCCGCACCAGAAGGCCGAGGUGACGAGUGGUAGCGGUUAUUCACUGUGAUGUCAUUGAGGCCCCGGUAGUCGAUGCACGGGUACAGGGUUUUGUCCUACUUCUCCACAAAGUAGAACCCUGUGCCAGCGGGGGAGGCAGAAGGACAGAUACACCCUGCAGCUACGGAGUCCUCAAUGUAGUUCUCCAUGGCCUUGGUCUCCGGACCCAACAGAGAGUACAGUCAUCCCUGGGGCGGGGUGGUGCCAGGGAGAAGGUCGAUCCCACGGUCAUAGGGUCCAUGCGGAGGAAGUGAAGUGGCCCGGGCCUUACUGAAAACCUCCUGUAUAUCCUGGUAUCCCACGGGAAUGGCAGAGAGGUCCAGGGUAACUACCGAGUCCACAGGAAGACUUCCCAGGGCAGGCUGCGCUGACUUCAAGCAAUGGGUGUGGCAGAACAGGCUCCAGCCCAUGAUGGCUCCAGCAGUCCAGUUAAUGAGGGGAUUCUGUCGCUGGAGCCAAGAUGAUCCCAAUACCACAGGAACCUGAAGAGACUUAAUUAGAAUGAAUUGGACUGCCUCGCUCUGUUUCCCUGACACUCGUAGGUUGAUGGGAGUGGUAUUGUGGGUGACCAGGCCUAUAGAGCGCCUGUCCAGUGCUCUAAGAUGCAUGGGAAUGGAGAGGGGCUCAGUGGGGAUGCCCUCCUCCUUCCUACAUUACCGUAGCCUCCCAUCGAUCCGGAUGGUCAAGGCAAUGAGCGAGUAGAUAUCCGUCGGUAGUUCUCGGGCUGCUAGCUCGUCCUUAACUUCCUCCGAUAAUCUGUGCAGGAACGUGUCGAACAGCGAUUCCAGGUUCCAGGCACUGUAAGUUGCCAGAGUCCAGAAAUCCCCCGCAUAGUCUGCCACACUGAGGGAGUCUUGCCAAAGCUGCAGUAACUUCCGGGCAGCCUCUCUCCCAGACAAUGGAGAAUCUAAAACCUUCUUCACCUCCACCACAAACUCCUCCAGACUGAAGCAUUUGGCCGACUGUUGUUCCCAAAUGGCCAUAGCCCAGGCGAGAGCCCUCCCGGACAUAAUCCUGAUAAGGUACAUUGUCUUCGAGCGAUCCGAGGGGAAGGAGGAGGGCUGCAGUUCGAUGAUGAGAGAAACGCCGGACAGGUUCCGACUCUCCAGCGAAGCAUUCUGGGGGAGGUAAGCAGAGGUUUUGGGAAACCGGGGGUGGCCGGGGCGGCCGUGCUGCUAACAGCCGGGUUACUGAGGGGCUGGGAGGUUAUCAUCGUGGUAGGCGGCCAGAGAGACAACCUGCGGAAUUCCUCCAGCAAUGUGUUCAACAUGCGGUCAUGGCGUUCAGCCAAGGUUUGGAACCCUUCCAUAAGACCACGAAGCAACUCCUCAUGCCUUCCAAUGGUGGCUCCUUGGGAGGAGAGGGCAUUGCGGAGCUGGUCCGAGUCUGCUGUCCGUCAUGGCCAGACCCAGAUGCAGACAAUUUCGAAGUAAGAAAAGUUUAUUACAAAAACAGUGGGGCAGGCAAACAACAGGCCAAGGGCAGGCAGAGGUCAGCAAUCCAGAGCAGAGUCCGAAAGGUACAA